rnacentral:rRNA from 1 species
CUUAGAGGAAUAAAUAGCGUUUAGCUNAAUGAAAUGGAGCAAUAACAGGUCUGUGAUGCCCUUAGAUGUCCGGGGCCGCACGCGCGCUACAAUGGCAGUACCAGCGAGUUUUAUUCCUAGCCAGAAAUGGCCGGGUAACCUGCUGAAUCACUGUCGUGNCNGGAAUAGUGGAUUGAAAUGAUCCCACUUGAACGAGGAAUUCCUAGUAAGCGCA